rnacentral:lncRNA from 1 species
GGGAGGUCGGGCUUCGAGCGUCCCCGGGCGCUACAGGUGGGUGAAGUUAAGUGGCUGCUGGAGCGUCUCGGGGGACAGCCAGUGUCUGCGGCGCCGAGAGGGCCGUUCGUGGACUCAAAUGGGUAUCACCCCUACCGUUUAUAGUCCUCCCAAUAGUCUGCAUCUCGUUUUGUCGUGGCUGGUCGUGUACUCCUUGUGGAGUCUGAAGAUAAUCAAGCUAAGCACACAGGAUGACUGCCCAAGAAGCAAGUGACCGCAAUGGUGAAGCUGGGCCUCCACCCUGCCGUCUGGCUGACUUCAAGGCCUGCACAGCCUCUUAAGCCGCAUCCUGCUUGCUGCCUCCAAGCUUUCCUGACUGCAGCCUUUUCUCCAGUCACUUUUGAUAGAGGAGUUAAGAAGAAAUUACUUAGGCAGAUAGUGAGGGUAUGGAAGUCCUCGGUAAGGUUUUCCUUUUAAUGAAAAGCAGCCCCAAAUCAUUUUCCUUUCUAACAAACAGCAGCCUGUAAAAUCAAGCUGCAGACAUAGAUGCCGGCAGUUGUGCCAAUCAUGUUCAGAAUGGUGGCUCCCUUCUCCCUUCUCUGCCAGCCAUAUGUACAGUAAGGAGCAGACAACAUGGCUCGGGCCAAGGGUAAAGUUGAUUUGCAUAAUAAGAUUAGGGUGGGGCCCACCAGCCUUCCCCUGCACUAUGUAAACAUCACGCCUGACUGAACCAAUCUGUGAGCCCUAUGUAAAUCAGACAAUGCCUUCUCAAGCCUGACUAUAAAAUCCUGUGAGUCCACUGCCAGCCAGUCUUUCCUCUGGGAAGCCCCUCUCUCUCCCUAGAGAGAGCUGGUUUCCUUUCUCCUUUCUUUUUCUUUUGCAUAUUAAACUUCCACUCCUAAACUCCUCAUGUGUGUCCCUAUCCUAAAUUUUCUUGGUGCGAGACAAUGAACCAUGGGUAUUCACCCCACACAACGUAGCCUCUUCACUUUCUUCUUAAAUUUACCCAGACUGACCUUUCUAAUUCCCUGAGGCCACUUCUCAUUUUCCUGCUUCAGAACCAGCAGGAACUCCUGAGUGAAGUCCGAAUUCCUCUGCCGGACUUUUACCAUUUCUCUGUGAUCUGGCCUAAUGUGGACAAGUCUGUAUUUCCGCGCUGCAGGCCCUUCUCUGCAGCGGGGUGGUCAGCACUUGGCCUCCUUUGUGUCUCAAGCUGCGAGGCUCCCUCCCCCUUCAGCCUCUUGGCUUCACUCUAGUUUCAGUCUUCUGUGCUUUAUCGUUUCUCAUGCUGCACUCAGGCGCCUC